AUAGUUGUGGCGCAGUGGUAGCGCAUCUGCUUCGCAAGAGUAGCCGGAGAGCGUGACCGAUAGCCAAUGUGCUGUAGGCCAAUGAGCCAUGGCGCGACUCGUAGAUGGAACUCGAAUGCAGGUGGUCGUCGGUUCAAUCCCGACCAAGUCCA
rnacentral:tRNA from 1 species